rnacentral:miRNA from 1 species
AGACGCAGGAGGAUCUCUGUGAGUUCGAGGCCAGCCUGGUCUACAAAGUAAGUUCCAGGACAGCCAGAAUUACACACAGAGAAACCCUGUCU